UGGUGGGUAGUUUGACUGGGGCGGUCUCCUCCUAAAGAGUAACGGAGGAGCACGAAGGUUGGCUAAUCCUGGUCGGACAUCAGGAGGUUAGUGCAAUGGCAUAAGCCAGCUUGACUGCGAGCGUGACGGCGCGAGCAGGUGCGAAAGCAGGUCAUAGUGAUCCGGUGGUUCUGAAUGGAAGGGCCAUCGCUCAACGGAUAAAAGGUACUCCGGGGAUAACAGGCUGAUACCGCCCAAGAGUUCAUAUCGACGGCGGUGUUUGGCACCUCGAUGUCGGCUCAUCACAUCCUGGGGCUGAAGUAGGUCCCAAGGGUAUGGCUGUUCGCCAUUUAAAGUGGUACGCGAGCUGGGUUUAGAACGUCGUGAGACAGUUCGGUCCCUAUCUGCCGUGGGCGCUGGAGAACUGAGGGGGGCUGCUCCUAGUACGAGAGGACCGGAGUGGACGCAUCACUGGUGUUCGGGUUGUCAUGCCAAUGGCACUGCCCGGUAGCUAAAUGCGGAAGAGAUAAGUGCUGAAAGCAUCUAAGCACGAAACUUGCCCCGAGAUGAGUUCUCCCUGACUCCUUGAGAGUCCUGAAGGAACGUUGAAGACGACGACGUUGAUA
rnacentral:rRNA from 2 species